CAUGGUUGUCGUCAGCUCGUGUCGUGAGAUGCUGGGUUAAGUCCCGCAACGAGCGCAACCCUCGACCUUAGUUGCCAGCAUUCAGUUGGGCACUCUAAGGUGACUGCCGGCUAAAAGUCGGAGGAAGGUGGGAUGACGUCAAAUCAUCAUGCCCCUUAUGACCUGGGCUACACACGUGCUACAAUGGGCGGUACAAAGGGUCGCGAAACCCGCGAGGGGGAGCCAAUCCCAAAAAAGCCGCUCUCAGUUCGGAUUGCAGGCUGCAACUCGCCUGCAUGAAGCCGGAAUCGCUAGUAAUCGCGGAUCAGCAUGCCGCGGUGAAUACGUUCCCGGGCCUU
rnacentral:rRNA from 1 species